rnacentral:rRNA from 1 species
UACGAAGGGGGCUAGCGUUGCUCGGAAUCACUGGGCGUAAAGGGCGCGUAGGCGGUCAGCACAAGUCAGUUGUGAAAUCUCCGGGCUUAACUCGGAAAGGUCAACUGAUACUGUGCGACUAGAGUGCGAAAGGGGCAACUGGAAUUCUCGGUGUAGCGGUGAAAUGCGUAGAUAUCGAGAGGAACACCAGUGGCGAAGGCGGCUUUCUGGACGGUUACUGACGCUGAGACGCGAAAGCGUGGGGAGCAAACAGG